AAAUUGAAAACAUUGGAUGCCUCAAAAGUUUGUUUAGUUAUACCCAAGUUUAAACGAACAUCAGGUUUAUAAACAAGGGCUUCAUAGUUUGAGGUGUAAAGAGGGAAACAUAUUGAGUUAUGAAUUGGCGUAUCAAUUGACAGUAAUUUUUGAUAACUAUUAAUUAAACAAGGAGUGCAUUUAUGAGUCCAGUAACUUGAGGAGUUGACUUCUUCAGAGAGGAUUUUUAGCUUGGUUAAAAGUGGAUGGUCACCUAGUUGUAAACAACGGUAUAAAUAACUAUCUGAAAGAAACUGCCGCCUCAGUUGUAAAGGGGGUUCAACACACUCGACUUGCAUUGCAUUAAUAGGGCUAGUCUUCAUUGCGCCCAGAACAAUCCUUAAAGCUACCGAUUGUAUUUUAUCUAGUUUAUUCAAAGCAGCAGCACUACAUGGUUCCAGCAAAAAAGAUCCAUAAUCAAUCACACUCCUGAUUAGUGCAUUAUAAAUGAUUCUCAGAGAAGUAGGAUGAGCGCCCCACCAUACACCUCUGAGGCAUUUAAUAAUAUUAAGAUUCCGUUCACAUUUAGCCUCAAUAUAAUUGCAAUGUGGGAUACCAGGGGAGAUCUCAUACGAGAAAAAAGCACUACAUUGCUUUUGGAAACGGAUAAUUCUAAGCCAUUAUCAUUCAGCCAACCCUUCAAUAUACCAAGAGAUGUUGUUUUUUAUCAGCAGCACUUCUACAAUUCCACUGUAGGAGUACCUGAUCCAUUAUUGGGAUUGAUAGACACAGUGUUUUCAAUUAGUUGGGCAACGUGAGACGGUAUAGAAUUGGUGGGAAUUAAACUGGAUUUAAACAAAAGCUCAAUAAGAGACAAAAUUAAUUUCGCUAUGGGUUGGUUUGAUUUAUCAUUUUCUGAGUUAUCAUUUUUCAGAGCAGAACCAUUUGGUGAAGAUAGAGGUAUAUCAUAAUCUUUUAUUAGAGAUGCAUGUGCAGCCCGGUCAUACCCAGCCGAAGGCGUAGGAGGAGCACGAGGCUUAAGGAAAACUGUUUUUUUUAUAUGAGCUGGAAGAUGGGGACAAUUGAGCUGCUGGGUUAGCAGCCUCAUCUUGAGAUUGUUUAUGUUGCGAAGUUCUAAGAACGUCAGCAAAAGAUUUGGAGACAACGGGGUGUAAUUUGGAAGCCUCUAAAUAUGAGAUGCAGUUUUGAGCCAUUGACACUUUGAUAUUUUUUUGUCGGGAAAAUUCAGGACAAGCCUUACUAGUGGCAAAAUGAUAACCAGAACAAAGACAACAUGAUCCAUCCUCUUGUUCUACUGAACAAGAUUCGGCAGUGUGACCUUGCCCGCAUUUAUAACAGCGAGGCUUGGAGCGGCAUUGAGCCUUUGUAUGACCAAAACGGCAGCAGCUGUAACAUUGAAUGGUUGGAUAAAUGUACAAGUCGACAGUCAAUGGAGUAUAGCACAUAAACACACGUUUUGGUAGUACUUGUCCAUCGAAAGUUAAAACAACUGUUUCAGUGUUAGUAAAUUCUGGAGACCCAUUUAUAAUUUUUUUACUUUUAAUUCUCCUAGCUUUAAGAACUUUCCCACAACCAAUGGGGACAUUCACAUUAUCCAAAAUCUCAUCCUCAGGCCAAUCAGCAGGGACACCCCUGACAACACCCAUCCGUGUGAUAAUAAAGGUUGGAAUGAAAGCUCUCAAACUAUGGCUGGCAAGGCAAGGAUUUUCAAUAAAGGCGUUAGCAUCAGAAUAUGUGGAAAAGGCCAUGGAUAGUCUAUUUCUGCCGAUCCGUUUCAAGCUACCGUUCACUAUGUUUUUAAUCAUAUUUUUCUUUAGAACGCUACCAAACUGAAUGGGAUGCAGUGAAACAGGAUCGUCAGGAGUAGACUGCUCCUUUUGAAUGUGCACCACAUAGGGUGCUAGGUCGGAAGAAACAUAUUUCCUACCAACUUGCUGUUGCUGCUGGGUUUGCUGAUUAGUUACUGUGACUGUUGGUGGUGGAGGUGGAGGAUCAGGUAUUGUUGAUAAAAGAGAAUUGUCUUCGUCAGAAUUGCAAUUGCACUUGUCUACACCCGAAACGUUUUUACUAUUUUUACUUUUGCGCUUUUUGUUGCAAUGUUUGCAAAUCUUUCUCAAGGGUCUUACACGUUUUCUGACUUGAGAGGAGCACCCGUCCUCCGUAUCCAUUGACGAAGUAUCGUCAACAAUAACUUCCAUCCCUACAUGAGGGACACGAUGACGAUCCCGGCCGCCACCGGGGUCGUCGGGGGGAUCAACCCCCAUAGUAAAAAGAAAAACUCACUUACCACUACACAGCAGCAAGUAUUUUAGAAGAAUAUAUAUAAAUAUGAAUUAACAGAUAAAAUAAUACAGAAAUACUCCACUGAACC
rnacentral:lncRNA from 1 species